CCCUUAGAUGUCCUGGGCUGCACGCGCGCUACACUGAUGUGCCCAGUAAGCACCUAACCUCUUCCGAAAGGAACGGGUAACCUUUGCAAAGCACAUCGUGAUGGGGAUAGAUUAUUGCAAUUAUUAGUCUUGAACGAGGAAUUCCUAGUAAGCACAAGUCAUCAGCUUGUGUUGAUUACGUCCCUGCCCUUUGUACACACCGCCCGUCGCUCCUACCGAUUGAAUGUUCCGGUGAGCUCUUCGGACUGCGCGGUCUGCAGUUUCUGCGUUCCGUGCGGAAAGUUGCGCAAACCUUAACAUUUAGAGGAAGGAGAAGUCGUAACA
rnacentral:rRNA from 1 species